AGAUUACAAAACAGAAGCCCUUUACAGAACAGAACUGUGUCUAGGAAGAGGAACGUCCUUUUGACUUUUGUCUUCAAAAUGGGUUCCAGCAGGGGCGUGGACAAGCUGUGUAUGCUAGGCUGCAGCGCACUGAAAGGUAUCAGAUUCAAGGUAACACGGCGUGACGAGGGAAGUUCAUUUUCUCACCUGAAACUCGGAGUGACUCUCUGAGCUACUGAUCGCACUCCACAAAGGGGAGGCUGACCGGGGCGACCUCACUCAUUAUGGUGAACAGGCUCCACAAAUGGCUGUGUUGGGACCACACUUUCUGACCUUGGAAACUGCCUGACCUCACGAAGCUGCAUCAGCCUGUGAAAGGGAGCUCACACUUCUUCCAGAGUGCUGGACCCAUGGGAGAUCAGCGUACAGCAGCAGCCAGCAAACACAAGUGCAGCUGACUGACUUUAUUUUGAGUUUGUGCUUUUAGAGGAAGGCAUGUGGGCCUUUCUUACCUUUUCUGCCAGCUCCAAUUUCCAAAUGUCCAGGACUGAAUUUUGCAAUUGAAACUCAAAAUUUCAUGUUUAAUCUUUUUCUAUUAAAUGUGUUCAUUUGG